AAAAGGAGCCAUAAAAUUGAACUUCCACUAGCCAUUCUUUCCCUUUUUGCUCUCUGCACACUUCAGCUGGGAAUCUUUAUGUAGGUAGUAGUUAUUUGACUUGUGUUAUUCUGGUUGUAAUAAAGUUAUAUCUAAGAGGCUAAGAGAGCUGACCAACUGAGAAGGGAAAGCAGUUCGUUCUGACCAUAAUGACAAAAGGAGUUCAAGGCGCACCAAACAUCUUUCUCCCAUUUAGAAACAUCCUAGUAUUUAAGCACAUAAAUACUUGGGCUUCCCAGGUGGCGCAGAUGGUAAAGUGUGUGCCAGCAAUGCGGGAGACCUGGGUUCAAU
ensembl:misc_RNA